UUGACAAAUAUCGGCCACGCAAGCCUCGCUUCUUCAACCGUGUUCAUACUGGAUUCGAAUGGAAUAAAUACAAUCAGACACAUUAUGACAUCGACAACCCUCCACCAAAGAUUGUUCAGGGUUACAAGUUCAAUAUUUUCUACCCAGAUUUGAUAGAUAAGACCAAAACUCCAGAAUAUACAGUGGUGAGUGUGGGAUCAUCUCUGCUUCGUUUUUCAUUAUUACUUUAUUUGUG